rnacentral:lncRNA from 1 species
UUGUUCAGAUUGAUGCUUCGGAGUGGUAAAUGUUGUUUUUCCCCUCUGCCUUUUUGCAACUUUGGUGUUAACGACAGAUCUGAUGAUUCUUCCAGCUCUGUUCGUGAGGUGUUGCAAGUGGAGUAAUGGGUGAAGGCACGGUGCAACCGGUGCGGAGAUGUUCUUUGCCAUAGAUCGUUUUGGGGCGUUAUGGUUCUUGUUUUGGGCGCUAUGGUUCUGGGUUGCCGAAGUGUUGCUCAAGGUCAACAGUGAAGGUGGUGAAAUUUCGGGCCAGCGUGUGCUGUUUAGGGUCGUUUUCGGGUGUUGUUCCCUUUAGGUUUUUUUGCCUUUGCUUUCCGGUUGAUGUCGUGUGUUGUUUCGCGUCCCCUCCAAUAGCGAGCUCUGUUUUUGUUAGGUUAUGUGGUUUUUUUUUUACCACAUCUAGGUCCCCGACAUUUUCUCUUUCUCAUUGGUCGAUUAGGGCUUGAUCCGGGUUUGGACCUGUUUAAUGUGAUUUUUAGGUGUUCUUGGGGAACAUUGGAGG